CAAAUGCAGCUACUAUAACUGUUUUGAAAACCUAAAUGUAACUACCCAUGUAAUUGUCAUUGUCAAUCUUCUAGUUAUAUGGGUAGUUACAUUGGUAGAUACAUAUGUAGUAUGAUAAGUGUUUUGAGGUGUGAUAAGCUAACAUAUCAGACAAUUUUGUGCAAAAGAAGAUGAUGGGAAAGAAUAACAGAGAAAGGGAUACACAGGACAGAGAUGCUGACAUACAAGAAGCAAAGAAAAAAAAAGAAGGCAGAGUUGAUGAAAAGGCAAAGAAAAAAAAGAGAAAACAGUUGAUGAAGAGCAAAGAAGAAAAAGAAGAUAGUUGAUGAAGAGGGUGAUGAUGAACUGCUGGCCAAACUUUGCAAGCAGCUAAACAUGAAGAAGACACUAAGAAGCAUUAUAGAUCAUACAUUGAACUAAUUUUUCAAUAUAUAAGGAGCAAAGUGUUCAAGAAGUUGAGAGCAAAGUGUUCUAUUCUUUUUGAAUAGCUACAUGAAAGAUUAAAUGUUUUGAACAGAUUUCAAUUAAUAGACAUUGCUUUGCUUUGCUUUCUUUUACAUUUUGUGUAUGUCAAUACAUGUAACUGGUUAUGUAGCAUGUAUGUAACUACCCAGGUAACUAUCCAUCUAUAGCUACAUGGAUAGUUACAUAGCUAGCUUAAUGUAGUUACAUAAGUCAAGUAUAUAAUAAUUGCAGCGUGCCGCUGCACCGCGACGACAACGUUUCGCUGCUUUUACCAUGUUGUUGAACUGCGACGAACACUGUAUGCUUCUUGGCCAUAACAACAUACUCGAAUGCAAAAGUAACUGGACAUGUAACUAGUAAAUGCAAAUGUAGCUAUCCAUCUAUAGUUACUUGGAUAGUUACAUAGGUAGCUUAAUGUAGUUACACAAGUCAGGUACACAUAAUAAUUACACAAUCCAAANNNNN
rnacentral:lncRNA from 1 species